rnacentral:lncRNA from 1 species
GGUUGUUUGUUUAAGUGUUACAUAUUUCUUUUUCGUUCAUUGUUUUACAUAAAUAAGGCCGUUAGUUUUCUCGUUUGAAUUGUUUUACAUUGUCUUAUCGGGGCCCUUUAUAUCUGACUAUGCGGUAUGGGCUUUGCUCAUUGUCGAAGGCCGUACGGUGACCUAAAAUUGUUAAUGUCUGUGUCAUUUUGGUCUUUUGUGGAUAGUUGUCUCAUUGGCAAUCAUACCACAUCUACUUUUUUAUAUUAACAUAUUAUUUGAUUCUUAUACAAAGGUUUUACAUCUGGCUGCUCAGAAUGGACACCUACAGGUCACAAGAUAUCUCUCAGAACAAGGAGGUGUCAGUCCCUUGGUUAAAACACAUAAGAAUGAAAGAGAGUUCUCUGAAGAAGCAAUGAAUUU